rnacentral:rRNA from 1 species
GAUGAACGCUGGCGGCGUGCCUAAUACAUGCAAGUCGAGCGAACGGACGAGAAGCUUGCUUCUCUGAUGUUAGCGGCGGACGGGUAAGUAACACGUGGAUAACCUACCUAUAAGACUGGGAUAACUUCGGGAAACCGGAGCUAAUACCGGAUAAUAUUUUGAACCGCAUGGUUCAAAAGUGAAAGACGGUCUUGCUGUCACUUAUCGAUGGAUCCGCGCUGCAUUAGCUAGUUGGUAAGGUAACGGCUUACCAAGGCAACGAUGCAUAGCCGACCUGAGAGGGGGAUCGGCCACACUGGAACUGAGACACGGUCCAGACUCCUACGGGAGGCAGCAGUAGGGAAUCUUCCGCAAUGGGCGAAAGCCUGACGGAGCAACGCCGCGUGAGUGAUGAAGGUCUUCGGAUCGUAAAACUCUGUUAUUAGGGAAGAACAUAUGUGUAAGUAACUGUGCAGAUCUUGACGGUACCUAAUCAGAAAGCCACGGCUAACUACGUG